AUUUUUUUGAGCAGUGUAUUAUGAAAAUGUAUGAAAACAAAAACUUAUGAAAACAAACAUGUACUUAAUAUAGGUGUUAGGCAUAAGGUUAGCAGUGUGGUUAAGGCAAGGGUUAGGGUUAUGUUUAUAAUCCCAUUUUAAGUAGGGAAAUUGUAGAAAUCGGCAGCCUUUGUGACUUUGUUUCUGUGGUAACUAGUGACGACCUAGAAUUAGCUUGACUCAAGUUACUACCUGAAUGACAUAGAGGUCUUCAUCGACAACGGUAAUGUGUGUAAUGUGAAAAGUUGUAUAAAAAAUAUCAUGGUUUGAUAAACUAGUAGGUUAAUUACCCAGACAAGCAGAUACAAGUGGUAGUCAUUUUGGUUGUGAAGUGCAUUAUCAAAAAGCUUUGUCCUUUUUAUAAUAAAAUUGUAUCACCCUGUCACAGCCUCAGCCAACACCACCUGAUGAGGAAGUACAUUGUUUAUGAGGAUUGCCUGCUGCAGUUGUUUGAGAGAUGUCCAGUUUGAAGCUAAACAUGCAACAUAGAGAAGACCAGCAAGGGGACCCUUAGCAUCAAGCAGACAUGCCUCGCUGUGAGAAUUUCUUUAAAUGGAACAGGGAGGACACUUGAAUCAGUAUCUUUGAUGAGGGGCCAGGAGCUGAUCUAUGCUGCCGUGCCCAUCAAAGGCGCACAGGCUAAAACCUCACCCCCAGCCUCACCUCUUGCCUGCACACCAACGGUCGUCGAUGGGGAGACCAGAAUAAAAUGCAUCUAUGGAGCCGGCACUUGAAGACUUGCAAGAAGAUGUGAUGGAGUCCUGAACGACAGACAGGCUUUAUACUGAUGUCUCUAAAUGGAGAGAGACCUGCCACUCGGCAUUAACAUUUUACUAGACACAACUUUUACUUGUAAAGUGUUUCUUUAUUAUUGAAUGGUAUCAGUCAAUAUUGGGAGGGAGAAACCCUGUGUAUUAUGCACCAGGAUCCGGGAAUUGCUGUUGUAUACAAGACACCACACCGGAAGGUAUGACCACGCUGACAUUUUUGCCAAGGUAACCCCAUUACCACCAGAAACCUCUGGCAUCUCACCAUACAGCUACCUCUAGUUAUUGAACUCAACCUGCGGGAGGUUUUUGUUGUAAUUGAGUGGGGGGAAACAGCUGUGAGAGACUUCAAUCAAAGUUGAUUUCUGAGAGGUGUUGUUUACUCAUCGUAGCUCAUGUAAAGAAUAGAUCAUGUAAACACUUGUGGGUGCACAAAUAUCAUGACAUUCACAUAAAGUUAGACCUUCUAACCGAGAGUUCAAAUGAAUGUGUCUUGAUUUGUAAUAAUGAUGGCCUUUAGAUGAAAUGACAUGGAACUCUUACAGGUUUGUCCACAGUGAAUGAGUUCCACACUGGCAUGAGGGAUCUCUUGCUAUUGCAUUGACAAAGACUGGAUGAUACAGUAGGCAGUAGUCAUUGCUGGGUUACAGCAUUUUUGGUCUCCCCAACAAUGUGUGCUUCUCCUCAACAGCGGUCACUGAAAGACAACAACCUAAAACUCAAGGCCAAAUCUACACUGGAGUUGCUUCCCAAGAAGACAGUGGAUGUUCCCGAGUGUCCAAGUUAGUUUUAAAUCUACUUAAAAAUCUAUGGCAUGACCUGAAAAUGGUUGUCUAGCAAUGAUCAACAACCAAUUUGACCGAGCUUGAAUAAAAAAAGAAUGAUCCAGGUGUGGAAAGCUCUUAGAGAUGUACACAGAAAGACACAGCUGUAAUUGCUGCCAAAGGUGUGAAAACUUAUGUAAAUGAGAAAUUUCUGUAUUUCCUUUUCAAUAAAAUUGCAAAAAAUAUAUAAAACAUGUUUUCACUUUAUCAUUGAGUGUUGAUGGGUCUUUCUGUAAAUUUGUUAAUUUUCAAUUUUUUAAAAUAUUAUAUGGAAAGAAUUUCUUACCAUAAUCUUCAUUCAGUGGGAGAGGAUGAGACGGGAAAGAGAACAUCUGCCUAAAAUAAUUAGCUUCCUCUUUUAAAAUAUCAUUCGGAGAAUCAUAGAUGACUCCGUCUUCAGUAAUGAGUUUCUGCAAAUUCUUUUUGUUAGCGUUCCUGUAUUGGAGAUUCAGGAAGAAUUUUGUGAAUUUUUCUGCAUAUUCCAUCCAAUUUGCUUUAUUUUUGUAAUAGAUUACAUUAGAUCGUUCUUGAAUAAGUUCCUCAAGUUCUUUUUGUUUUUCCUCCAACU